UGCAGUCGACGAACUCUGGUAUUGAUUGGUGCUUGCAUCAUGAUUUACAUUUGAGUGAGUGGCGAACUGGUGAGUAACACGUGGGAAACCUGCCCAGAAGCGGGGGAUAACACCUGGAAACAGAUGCUAAUACCGCAUAACAACUUGGACCGCAUGGUCCGAGUUUGAAAGAUGGCUUCGGCUAUCACUUUUGGAUGGUCCCGCGGCGUAUUAGCUAGAUGGUGGGGUAACGGCUCACCAUGGCAAUGAUACGUAGCCGACCUGAGAGGGUAAUCGGCCACAUUGGGACUGAGACACGGCCCAAACUCCUACGGGAGGCAGCAGUAGGGAAUCUUCCACAAUGGACGAAAGUCUGAUGGAGCAACGCCGCGUGAGUGAAGAAGGGUUUCGGCUCGUAAAACUCUGUUGUUAAAGAAGAACAUAUCUGAGAGUAACUGUUCAGGUAUUGACGGUAUUUAACCAGAAAGCCACGGCUAACUACGUGCCAGCAGCCGCGGUAAUACGUAGGUGGCAAGCGUUGUCCGGAUUUAUUGGGCGUAAAGCGAGCGCAGGCGGUUUUUUAAGUCUGAUGUGAAAGCCUUCGGCUCAACCGAAGAAGUGCAUCGGAAACUGGGAAACUUGAGUGCAGAAGAGGACAGUGGAACUCCAUGUGUAGCGGUGAAAUGCGUAGAUAUAUGGAAGAACACCAGUGGCGAAGGCGGCUGUCUGGUCUGUAACUGACGCUGAGGCUCGAAAGUAUGGGUAGCAAACAGGAUUAGAUACCCUGGUAGUCCAUACCGUAAACGAUGAAUGCUAAGUGUUGGAGGGUUUCCGCCCUUCAGUGCUGCAGCUAACGCAUUAAGCAUUCCGCCUGGGGAGUACGGCCGCAAGGCUGAAACUCAAAGGAAUUGACGGGGGCCCGCACAAGCGGUGGAGCAUGUGGUUUAAUUCGAAGCUACGCGAAGAACCUUACCAGGUCUUGACAUACUAUGCAAAUCUAAGAGAUUAGACGUUCCCUUCGGGGACAUGGAUACAGGUGGUGCAUGGUUGUCGUCAGCUCGUGUCGUGAGAUGUUGGGUUAAGUCCCGCAACGAGCGCAACCCUUAUUAUCAGUUGCCAGCAUUAAGUUGGGCACUCUGGUGAGACUGCCGGUGACAAACCGGAGGAAGGUGGGGAUGACGUCAAAUCAUCAUGCCCCUUAUGACCUGGGCUACACACGUGCUACAAUGGAUGGUACAACGAGUUGCGAACUCGCGAGAGUAAGCUAAUCUCUUAAAGCCAUUCUCAGUUCGGAUUGUAGGCUGCAACUCGCCUACAUGAAGUCGGAAUCGCUAGUAAUCGCGGAUCAGCAUGCCGCGGUGAAUACGUUCCCGGGCCUUGUACACACCGCCCGUCACACCAUGAGAGUUUGUAACACCCAAAGUCG
rnacentral:rRNA from 2 species